UUUAUGUUAUACGAAAAGGAUUUCUUGAGAUGAAUCGCUCCUAGACCCUGCAGCGAAUAUGCAGAAGAUGUCCAUUAGCAUCACAGCAAUACUUGUUGGGUACUUACUUUGAAAGCAGCACUGCUCUUGAUGCUGGGGAAAGAGCUUGGGGAGGGGCAAACGGUUUCUGCCCUCACGGAGCCAAUGGGGAGGCAGACCUUAAGAAAAUGAAUCAGUUCUGGGGCAGUUGGCAGAAUAAUGGCCCCUAAAGAUGUCCAUGUCCCAAUCAUCAGAACCUGUGUUUAUGUUACGUUACAUGACAGUUGGGAAUUAUGGUAGCAGAUGGAAUGAAGGUGGCUAACCACUGACCUUGAAACAGGAGAUUGUCCUGGAUUAUGCAAAUGAGGCCAAUGUCAUCAUAAAGACCCUUAAAUGAGGCAAAGGGAGGCAGAAAUUCAGAAUCAGAGAGACAGCACAAUGAGAAAUACUCGACCCUCGACCGGCCACUACUGACUUUGAAGAUGAAGGGGAAUCAUGGGCUGGGGAGCGCAGGCAGCUUCUAAAAGCUGGAAAGCAAGAAAAGGGAAUCUCCUCCAGAGGCCCUGGAAAGGAACACAGCCUUGCUGACACCUUGGUCUUAGCCCAUUUGGACACAUUUUGGACUUCUGACCUCCAGGACUGUAAGAAUGAAGAAACACCAGAUAUGAUUUCAAGCCAUUGGGGUGCUGAUGUGGAUACCGAUGGGCUCCUGCACCUCUUUAGCCAGACAGAUCUGUUAACACCGGAUUUCUGCUACAAUUAUAAAACAUCAUUGGAGACAAGCUGGAUGGGAAAGAACCUCUCCAAAUCAUUCCUGAGUGAUAAUAUGAGAACAUCCAGCCCGAAAGAAAAAUUUGGACCACUCAGUAAUUGCAGAUCUCAAGCCAUCCACUGACAGCAUUGGGCAGCAAGACAGCUUCUGAAUAUUCUCACUCAGUCAGUUCAGUGGAGGAGCCCUGUCUGCUUCAGCGUCUCCAAGUCUUCACAGGAGGAGGCCAGAGAGGACCCUGGGGCCUGAUCCGAGGAUUCUGACUGCUAGGCAGCAGAGAGGAAUCUUGGCUUUCUUACCACAGAGAUCUGCGGAGGCCAUUGAAUAAGAGACUGACUGGAGCCUUUUCCUUGCUUUUGAGGCAAACUGAGUCCACCCAUUGGAAGGCAAAUCCUCAGGAAUCUGGCCAAUCAGAUUAGUUACUCUUGUUUUGUAGGGAGGAGCAAGGAAAAGUUAGAGGUUGAAACUGUCUCUUUGGGGGCCUCCCCAAGAGGGUGGACAUUUUGGUAGACACUCUCUUCUUUGGAAAUCCGAGGACAGGAGAAUAAGGAAUCUUCUCCUUUGAGAAGCAGCGAUUCAAAUUCAAAUGCCUUCAGGGCCUGAGAAGGGGUUAUAAAUAAGUGAAUGGAGCCGGGUAGGAAAUAAGGGAGCUGGAGACACAUAACUUGUCCAAAACCCACGGGGCCCAUUCAGGUCCGGCUGAUGUUGGCAUAAGAGAAUAUUGGUUUGUUGGUGCCAGACCUUGUAAUUUUUGAAGGGAAGCUAGAAAUUAGGUUUUUUUUUAAUAUGAUAUUUUCCAAUUUAAAAAUUUUGGCAAGUAAUUCAACUUUUUAAAAAAUGCCGUGCAGGCCAAACACAACAUAUCCAUGUGUUGGACUUCCCCCAGGAGUCACCAGUCUGUGAUGUCUGGUUUGCACCUUCAUCACUUGAAACAAUGAAGCAUCAUUUUUUUUUUUUUUUUUUUACCCCUAGUUAGGCUGGGGAAAUGAGCCACACUGCCAAGCAUUAGAAUAAGAAAAAGGAAAAUCUGGAACAUAUUGUGUUUGGUAUUUGCAUUUUCUGGAAUCUUCUUUCAUCUCCCUGCCCUCCCUCUGACUCAAGAUGAACAGUCUUGGCCUUUUUCUCUUGCUCUGCUGCUCCCCUUGGCAGCUCCUUCUUUUGUAAGUCGUGUGGUCUUGGCACCACAGCAUCAACACACUGACUCUGGCUGAAGUUUGCUGUCAGUCCGAUUAGCAGAUGGAGGAGCCAGGAGCUGCCGUCCUCGACAGAUGAGACAUGGAGCCCCAUUUUCAGACCAAAAGGCCAAGCCUUCAUCCUGCGUCAGUCCCGAUGUCACUCUGCAUUCUGCAAGGGCUAGAGUCAAGUGCCUGGGACAGCUUUGGACAGAGCCCAUCUUUAGAGUGUCAGUGCCUCUGUGUGGCUGGUGAUGGCCUUGAAAUGCUAAGUGCCAUUAGAGGUCUCCUCCUUAAAUUCGGCUGACAGUUCGCAUCCGGCUCAGAUGCUUUCUGGGCAGAGAAACGUCAGGCAUUUAUUCACCUUUCAACAAACAUUUAUGGAAUAGUUCCUGCGUUUAGCCAGGGAGUGUUAAGGCAUUGGGAAUCCAGCAUUAAACAAGAUAAACUUGAUCCCUGUCUUCACGAAGCUUUACAUUUUAGUCAGGGGAGACAGGUAGGCAAACACACAAAUAAAAGAUGCUUCAGCUGGUGAUGAUGCCAGGAAGAAACCAAAGCAAGGUGAUAUAGUAGUGACUGAGGAUAAGCCCUCCUUUGAUUGGUGGGGCUGAGGGGUCCUCUCUAGGGAGAUGAUGUCUGAGCUGAUACUUGAAUAAUAUGUACUUUUUUUUUUUUGGUGAGGAAGAUUUGCGCUGAGCUAACAUCCGUUGCCAGUCCUCCUCUUUUUUUGCUUGAGGAAGAUUAGCCCUGAGCUAACAUCUGUGCCAGUCUUCCUCUACUUUGUAUGUGGGAUGCCUCCAUAGCAUGGCUGAUGGGUGGAGCAGGUCCACACCCGGGAUCCAGACCCGCGAACCCCAGGCCACUGAAGUGGAGCAUGUGAAACUUUAGCUACACAGCCACAAGGCUGCCCUCUCAUAUGUACUUUUUAAGUGUCCAUGUACUUUUAUUUUUACUAGGUCUUUAGUCCCAGAGUUAAUGAAGGAACAAGAUUAUUACAAUUAAAUAUGACUAAGAUCUAGAAAUGGCAUACACCGAAGUAUUAACAAUGAUUGUCUCUUAGUGGUGGGGUUCAUGUAUCCAUUUAACUUAAGAAGCAUUUACUGUAUCUAAUAUGACCCUGUACUGUACUAAGUGCAGGGAAUGUAGUUCUGAACAAAACGGGUGAUGUUAUUUGGUUAAAAUGUGAAGAGUUUUAUGAGGGAAAUAGUGUGCUGUGGUAAAUUAUAAAAAAGGGAAGCACCUGAUUUAUAAUGGUGGGUCAGGUCACCUUAAACUGAGACUGAGAAAUGAGAUGGUUCAGUCAUGUGAAGCAUAUUGAUGGUGGGGGCUUGGAGGAGUAUUCCAGGUAAUGAGAGCAGCAUGUGCAAAGGUCCUGGGGCUGGACAGAAUUUGUGAUAUUUGGGUAACUGAAAGAAAAUUUGCUAGGGUGGAGCAGAGAGGUCAAGAGAUAAGAUUGGAGAGAUUUAGAGGAGCCAGAUCAGGCAAACCCUGGAGUCAAGGAGAGGAGUGCAGAUUUUAUGUCAAGAGCAGUGAGACACCAUUGAAUGGUUUUAAGAUGGAGAGUGAUAUGAUUUGACACACAUCUUUAAAAAAGGUCACUCUUGUUUGUUGGGUGGAGAAUGAGUUGUUAGGGACAGAGUGGAAGCAGGGAACCUGUUAGGAAGUUGUUGCAUUUAUUCUGGCUUGGACUAGGGAAUCAGCACGAAUGUCCUGUAAUCGGUUGCUAAUGUCCUGUAAAUUAAUCAUUGCACAACUCUGGGAGGUACCAUUCACUUGUGCAGCAAUGUAAACGAUGCUUCCUGGAGUGUAGCCCCAAGUCUGGGGCAGUAGUAGCAGCAGAGAGAGAUAGAGAGAAGCUGUAGAUUUAGAAUGUGCUAAUAGAUUAGAUUGGGGAGAAGGGAAGGAAGGACAGGACACUUAAGGAUGACUCCUAGGUUUAGGAGUUGGAUAGCUUCAGGGAUGUUGGUGGUGUUUUCUUAAAUGGGGAAAGACUGGAUUUGAAACAAUUUGGGGGAGAAAAAGCAAGAGAUUUUUCUUAAAUUUGUUAAAUGUAAGAUGUUGGGAGACAUCCAAGGGAAGAUGUCAAGUAAAUAGAUGGAUCUACAAAUCUGGAAUUCAGAGUGGAAGUCUAGACCAGAUAGGAAAUGUUGGAGUCGUCAGGGUCAAGGUGGUAUUUAAAGCCGUGGGUGAAGAGAGAGAAAAGAUGAGGUCGUGAGUCUGUGACUUGAGCAACUUGAUAAGUGGGGUAAGAAGAAGAGGAAGAGAUGGCUAAGAAGAUGGAGGAGGAGCUGCCACAAACCAGGAGGAAAUCAACCGAGUGCAGCAUCAGAGAAGGAACGUGGACGGUUUCUGCCCUAAGGAGUUGUUUCUAAUGAAAAUAAUAAAUACAAACACAUGCAUUUUUGUCUCUAGUGAUGCAAUUGCAUGUCCAUUAUUUUUUUACGUGUGGUGAGGGUUGAGCUGAUUUCCCUCCGCAAGGUGACCAGUUGUCCCCGUGAAUGGUGAUGGGUGUGAGGGAGAUGUGAUUCGGGGUGCCAGGAAUUCUACUAAACAUCCUGCAAUGCAGAGGACAGCCUCUCACAACAAAUGAUUGUCCAGCCCAAAAUGUCAGUAGUGCUGAGGUUGAGAAAUGCCAUGUAUUGAGUGCAGAGUCAAGUUACUCGUUGAGAUUUCAUUGUUCCUUCCUCAAAGACUUCUUUGAGGGGAAAAAAAAAACUCCUUCCAAGCCAAAGGUUUAGUUGCCCCAUUUCCUAGGAGCAUCUAUGCCCAGACACAGGGAGCUGACUGAAAGAUUUCUUGGCUGAUGCUUCACACAUAGGCAUCCCCAGGCUGUCAGGGAUGUAAUUCGUAGAAUAAUUUCUGUGGCUUAGAUAUGCAGAAUAUUUUUUGGUUUUUGUUUUUUUUCUGGAGAGAGAAAGGGAUGGAAUCUUUGUUUUGGGAGAGUCAAAAGCACCAAUAUUGCAUUUUAUUUCAAUUAUUCACUUAUGUUAAAAAGGGUUUGGUGUCUGAUGGGAAAGAAGGUGACCAGACUAAUCUUGGUCUCACAAAUGGAUUCAAAACAAUAUGGCAUUUCUAUGUGGCCCAAGAUUUUCCCUUAAUGGGAAGUGUGUCUGUGGGUGGAAGGUGAAGGGCUUUUGGAGAAGGGAGAGAAUUAUGUAGAACUCUGAAUUUCAGAUCCUUAAGGAACUUUAGAAAUCAUCUAACCUGACCUCUUAUUACCAAAUACUUUAAACUUUAAGGGAGCCACAUCUAGCCUCAUACUGUCCUUCCUUAACUUUGGGAGAGUACAAAAGACUGCAUGGAAAUCUUGAGCAGUGAUAUAAAAUUGGCCUGACAUUUCCAGGUCUGGAGGAGGUCAACUUAUAGGUGUUUAUUAUGGAGGCAGGAGGAGGAGGAAGAAUGUAUGACUUAAGAAAGACUAGUGUAGAUUAUUAAAGACUAUAUUAGCAUCUAGAUUCAUAUAAAAACUAAGGUAAGGGUACACGGGGGAAUUUUGGUCACCAGUGAAAACUUAAUCCUUUAACAAUGUCUGCACAUAAUAGGCACUCUCUGUGGCAUAGUAGGCAAGGAAAAUGGUGCAAAGGCAAUUUGAUUUGUAGGGGUGGGGCAGGGUAGCUCACUGAGGAAGAUGACAUUACCUUUCAUGUUUUUUGUCUAAUAACGUGAUCCCGAGAAAUAGAUGGUUAAGAGGGAUAGUAAUAAAAAAUAUCAGAUAAGAUUUAUAUUCAGUUUCAUGGAACAAGUUACAUAAAUACAGUGGCUUAAAUAAGGGAAAGGUUUAUUUUCUUCAUGGAAUGAAAAGUUUGGAGAGUUGCAGGAAGUCCAGAGCUGGCGUGGGGAUGCAGAGAUGUUAUCAGGGACCUGGGCUCCUUCUGUGUUUAUUCUUCACCCAGCCUUCUUUGCACACAUCGCUGUCAAAAUGGACACAAGAUAGCUCUUCUGUGUUCAGGCAUUGUGACCUCCUUCCAGCAAGAAAGAAAAUGGACAGCAACAGUCAACGAGUCAAUUCCAAAUUUAUAAAGAAAAUGAUAGCUUUUAGAAGCCCCACCCAGUAGACUUCUACUUAUGUCUCAUUGGCCAGAACCGGGUCAUGUGCUCAUUCCUAACUGCAAGGGACUCUGGGAAAGAUGUUUGUCAGCCAUCCUGGACAAAAUAUGGGUUCUGUUGGUAAAGAAGAGGUUCUGUGAGUAAAGAGGAGCAUGGAACACAUUCCUGAUUCCACAAGUGAAGGGAGAAAGGCCCUCGUUAGGGAGUUGACUAGCUGGGCCUUUCUAGUGAAUUCAAGUCAAUGUGGAAGCCUCGUUCCAGUCGUACGACUUGGCUCAAAUUAGGAUGCAGAGCAGCAAGGAGCUUUAGUAAGACAACAUCUGUUUAUCACCACCUGCGAACUGGGCUUUGGUCUCUGCUAAAGGUCACAUGGUAGGGGGCACUGAGUCCUCAGGAGUCUGGGAGAUAUUAGUGCCAACUGAGACAAAAUCAAUACAGCAAUGGCUGCUUUUUUGUCACUGUGAGCCCAGUACUGACCGCAGGCAUCACAUUUGGCCAAAGGAAAAUAAACCUGAGCAUCAUGCUGAGCCCAGUGGAGCAAUUCCAAACAUGACUGAAUUUUCCUAAGUUCUCGAAUGCAGCCGACCAAGUAAGAGAAAUGGUUUGCACACCCUAAACACUCAGCAAAUGGCAAGUGUGGUUAUUAUCAUUUAAUGGGUAAUAUUGACCAAAAGGGAAAUCCAAUGCAUUGUAGGAUGGAAUUACAUUAAGGCCACUAAUCAGGACAUAAAAUAUGUGUGGUUAGGAGGUUGGCGAAAGUAUAAUUACAAUUUUGUGUGCAACUGGAGAGAGUGAAAGGGAAGAACUGUGAUUGGAGAGGAUUUAGGAUUCGUUCUCUAAGUGUGAAGGGAAGCCAUUGGGGCGAGGAGAGGAGGAUGCUGAGCAGGGGAGUGACAUGAUCAGAUUUAUGUUUUGGAAAGAUCGCUGUGUGGUACUGAGAAUAGAUGGUAGGGUGCAAGGGUGAGUGCAGGGAGACAGGGGCUGUGUCAGUACUGCAGGUGAGAAAUGAUGGUGGCUAGGAUCACAGUGCUUGUAGUGGAAGGAGUAAAGAGUCGUCAGAUUCAGGACGUACAUUUUGAGGGUAGAACAGACAGGACCAACUGAUGUAUUUUAUUUGGGACUCAAGACAGAGAGGAGGCAAAGAUUACUUUUGAACAAAUAGAAUGAUGGAGUUGCCAUCGACUGAAGGCAAGGGGCACCUCCAAGAGGAACAGGUUUGAGGGUAAAUGGUGAGAUCAAUAGUUUUUGGUGUGUUAAAUCUGAGAUGCCUGUUAGACACCCAAGGAAAGACUUAAUUAGGUAAUUGGAAAUUUGAGUCUGAAGUUCAGGAUUGAAGUUAGGGCUGAAAAAUCACAUUUUAAAGUCAUUAUUGUAUAGAUGGGAUUUAAAGCCACAGUGCUGGAUGGGCUCCUUGAGGGAAUAAGUGUAAAUAGACAUGAGAAGAGAUUCAGGAUUGCAUCCUGGAAUGGAGAGAAGGAGCAGCCCGUGAGCAAGGGGGAUAUGAGAUGUGGCAUCUGGGAACCAAAGCGGAGAAAAAGCCCAACAAAGAAAGGAUGAUCAGCUGUGUCAAAUGACCCUGAAAGUUUGAGUGCAGUGAGAACAAGAGUUGACCAUGGUGUUGGCGUUGUGGAGUCACUGGGGACAUUGACAAGAGCAGUUCCAUUGGUGUGCAGGGGAUGACAGCCUGAUUGAAGAAUAGAGUUCUAGUGACUUCUCCAAGGUUCAGUGGGAAGAUUCAUGACAUGAUUUGUUUGCUGUGUGAAGGAAUUUGAACUUCGUCAUAAUGGCAGCAGGGUUUUAGCAAGAAGAGUGACAUAGUCGGAUUUGCAUUAUAGAAAGAUCAUCCUGGCUGGAGUACGGUAGAAGGGAGGUCAAUGCGAAAACUGUUGUUGGAUGAUGAUGGCCAGAGCCAGGCUGGUGGCAGUGGAAAUGGAGAGAAUAACUCAAUCUGAAAGAAAUUAAAGAGAUAGAACCCAUAGAACUUGAGGAUGGGUUGGAGGUGGGAG
ensembl:lncRNA